UGGGGAAUAUUGGACAAUGGGGGCAACCCUGAUCCAGCCAUGCCGCGUGUCUGAAGAAGGCCUUCGGGUCGUAAAGGACUUUUGCCGGGGAAGAAAAGGCGGGGCGGACAAUGCCCCGCCGUUGACCGCCCGGAGAAUAAGCGCCGGCUAACCACGUGCCAGCAGCCGCGGUAAUACGUGGGGCGCGAGCGUUAAUCGGAAUGACUGGGCGUAAAGGGCGCGCAGGCGGUUUGUCAAGCCGGACGUGAAAUCCCGGGGCUCAACCCCGGAAUGGCGUUUGGAACUGGCAGGCUGGAGCGAGGCAGAGGAGGGUGGAAUUCCGCGUGUAGCGGUGGAAUGCGUAGAGAUGCGGAAGAACACCGAUGGCGAAGGCAGCCCUCUGGGCCGCAGCUGACGCUGAGGCGCGAAAGCGUGGGGAGCGAACAGG
rnacentral:rRNA from 1 species